CCUACGGUGUGCUGCAGUGGGGAAUAUUGGACAAUGGGCGAAAGCCUGAUCCAGCCAUGCCGCGUGUGUGAAGAAGGCCUUCGGGUUGUAAAGCACUUUCAGUGGGGAAGAAAGCCUUGGGGCUAAUACCCUCGAGGAAGGACAUCACCCACAGAAGAAGCACCGGCUAACUCCGUGCCAGCAGCCGCGGUAAUACGGAGGGUGCGAGCGUUAAUCGGAAUUACUGGGCGUAAAGCGCGCGUAGGCGGUCUGAUAAGCCGGUUGUGAAAGCCCCGGGCUCAACCUGGGAACGGCAUCCGGAACUGUCAGGCUAGAGUGCAGGAGAGGAAGGUAGAAUUCCCGGUGUAGCGGGGAAAUGCGUAGAGAUCGGGAGGAAUACCAGUGGCGAAGGCGGCCUUCUGGACUGACACUGACGCUGAGGUGCGAAAGCGUGGGUAGCAAACAGGAUUAGAUACCCGUGUAGUC
rnacentral:rRNA from 1 species